rnacentral:rRNA from 1 species
UACAGAGGGGGCAAGCGUUGUUCGGAAUUACUGGGCGUAAAGGGCGCGUAGGCGGCCUUCUAAGUCGAACGUGAAAUCCCCGGGCUUAACCCGGGAACUGCGUCCGAUACUGGGAGGCUUGAAUUCGGGAGAGGGAUGCGGAAUUCCAGGUGUAGCGGUGAAAUGCGUAGAUAUCUGGAGGAACACCGGUGGCGAAGGCGGCAUCCUGGACCGACAUUGACGCUGAUGCGCGAAAGCCAGGGGAGCAAACGGG